GAGUCAGCUUUCGUGGCCACUAGAUCCAUAAGUACGUGUUUCACGAGUGCAAAUGUAAAAGAACUGUUAUGUUUUCCAAUAUUUCAUAUGUAUAUGACUAGUUUACUUCAAGGUGUUUUCCUAUGGCUUCAUUCAGUUCAUUGUGGUUUAGUUCUGUUCUGUUCACGAAAGUUUCUAUCUGAUGUAGACAUGAAUAUUUCUUCCUUCGUAAAACAUUCAUUGGCAUUUGUGAAAAGUAUCAGGUGGCCCAAAUUACUUCCACGGCCCCUUAAUACAGAUACGGAGAUGCUUUUUGCAGUACCAAUUUUAGUGUUUCACUCGUGUAUAAUCUGGGUUUUUUUCUAUUGGUUAGAAAAAAGCAUGAAAUCGACAAUUGAGGUCUACUCAUUUUCUUCGGUGUGUUUCUCCAAAUCCCAAAAAUUUCCAGGUGUUUCCGGGUGCCUGAUACUGCAAAUGCAAUGUUAAUUUUGUUUACAUCUCUAACUCCGAUUAUUUGAGCGGCUGUCUUGAAGCUCGAGACUUGGAAAGAUUUCAGUUAUACACCCUCUUUAUAACCAUAUUAUUGCAAACGAGAUCAUUAAAUGCACCUUGUCAAAGUAUCAAUAAGCAAAAGAUCCACUGCUGUUUGCUUUAAGAUAUACUCCAUUAUUCAUGCACCAAAAGGGAAUUCAGAAGUGAAGGAGCAUAUCCCUCAAACUAGUAUAUAAAAUGAAGCAUUAUGCCUUGUAGUAAACAACUAAUGUGAUCUGAGUUUCUAUCAAGGUACAAAAAUAGAGCAAGAGAUGCCUAAUUCACCGCAAAUGCUCAAACCUUCCUGGGAUUUUUCACAUCUUCCAAGCAUACAUCUUCGAUAGCUAAAACAUACACUCAGCCAGGAGAGAACAAUAAAUUCUUGAGAACUUUCAAAUUUCUAUGAUGUCACAAGUGCUAAACAGUAGCCGGAAAAAUCAUCCCUUCAUCCAGCAGAAAGAAAAGAAGUUUGGGGAACAAUUUGGAACCAUCAAUAGCAGUGGACAGUCACACUAUGUAACUUGUCCAUACAGCAGACAAGCUCUGGCUCCCAAUCAUAAGCAGUAAAAAGAAAGGAAAAAAGAACUAGAUGGGAUAGAGAUUCAUUGGCUGAUGAUGGAAGUUUGUGUAUAUUGGAUCAGCCUCAAAGUCCGCAGCCUAUCUUUAGUUGUAAAUCUCUUCCUGCAAGCAAGCCGCAUGACGGACGGAUGUCUCAACACAUAAUGUUUUCUCCAAACAAUUCUAAAAUGAAAGAAACCAGACAAUGUCCAGAGCGUCCCACUCUGAUUUCCUCGCUGGUUAACGAGCCCACACGCACUCUCUCUGUCCUCCUUCUCUCUCUAAAACUCAUUUCUUCUCAUUUUCUCUAAAACUCCUCUAACCAAAAUCUCAUCUAGCUGUCCCAUACAAAAGAAACCAGACAAACUGGUCUUUCAUCACGGAAGGAGACCUCUCUCUAGUUUGUUUGUUUUUUAAUAGAUUCUCUCCUUAGAUUUCUCGAUGAGAAAAUCGUCUCUCCUAAGAUUUCAUAAUAAAAGAUUCUUUCCCUCCUACACUUUAAUAUUGUGAUUUUUAUUCUCUCUUAAAAUAUCCUCGUGUGAGUUUUUUGGUUCUUUAGAUUUGAAAAGCUGGGAGUUGGAAUUAUGUCAUAUCUAAAUUUCCUUUCAAAUUUGAAGCAAUGUUUGUCAGAUUUUUUUUUUUUUUUUUGACUAUUAGAAGACAUACGCGUAAUUCUAUUGGUUUGCAGUGAUGUUUAUCUGAUGAAGCAUACUACUGAAUUUUCAAUAUUAUUACCAUGUUUGUUAUUUUUAGAUUUGUUGCAUCGAUUGAUUAUAUAUAUAUAUAUAUAUAUAUAUAUAUAUAUAUAUAUUUGCGUCAUAUUUGAUGCAUUUUCUGCUAUUUAUGUAGAUAUUGAAAUAAAAUUAUCUUUAAAAAAAAAACCAAGCACAUACACCACUAGGUAAUAUGGUAUCCAACCAGUGAAAGGUGUAAGGAGUUCGAGAAGAAUAUGCUUGCAAUUAUGGCCCCUUAGGCCACCAGUCGCACUAAAAUGUGACAUGUUUGUCGUGCUGCAGAACCAUUUGAAGCCGCCCUUUAGUUUGAUCUUUGAUGGCUGUGUCUGGACAAAUUACCUAUCAAGUUUUGGUGUUACAAUCCAGUGUCCUAAAUUCUGCACGAAUCCCAUGUAUUCAAUUAUUUUCAAUAUUUACGUAUUUUGUCAGGUAUAUUCUGCAUAAAUUCUUAGUUAAACCUAUUACACAUGUUUCAAAUUCUAUAUUGAUACAUACACACACAUACAUGCAUUCAUACAUACAUACGCCUAUUCUUUCAUUGAAAUUAAUGUGAUUUAGUUUGUACGCAUUUUUGGGUUAGUUCCUGGCAAUUGGGCGGGUUGUGCGGGUUUUGGGUGGGUUAAUAUUGGGUUUUCACUUAAAUGGGUCAUACCCAACCCGUCCAACUUUAAAUUAGGUUGAUUUUGGGUUGGGUCAUGUUGGGUUAUUUCAAACUUAUGACCCAAAUAUGACCAACAAAUUAAUUAAUAUAUUUUAAUACAUAAACUUUUUCACAUACAUUUUAACACACAAAAAAGAUUUUUUUCACACAUUUUCAUAUACAUAAAUGUAUUUUCACACAUACAAACACACACUCACUUCUUAAGUUCCUUGGAAACACAUCAUAAAUAAAAUAAUAUUUUAUAUUGCUUGUAUUGUGAAUUUUAGAUAAUAAAUUAUACAUUUAAAUAGAUUAGCUAAAAAAAUUGUUUACUUUAUACUUUUUUAAUACUACUAAUUGAUUAAAACUUAUUUUUGUCACAACUUAUUCACACUUUUACUAUUCAUAUCAGUUUUAUCGUAAAUUGUAAUAUUCUAUGUAUUUAAAUUAUCGAAUGCUAGAUUAUAUUAUACUUGAAAAUUUAAGUAAGAGACAUAAUUUGUUGUAUAAUAAUUUUGAAAUUAUAGAAAAUAAGUUUGUACUUUAGUCCUUAUAUUCUCAAAAAUUUUAUGAUUCAUGAUUCUAGAAAUUUUGCAAACUGUUGUGAAAGGUCCAUGCAUCAGAACUACAUUCUGGGGAUAAUAUGCAAAUUGCUUUCUUCCAUUAAAUGAUUGGAGACAUUACUACAUUUUGGUUCUUGGACUCGCUAAUUAAGAGGGAAAAUUAAUUGUCUUACUGAUUGUAAGCUUCUCAUGAAGUUGAAGAUUGGAUGUAUAUGCUUCAGACGAAAUGAAAUCGUUGGACUAGCCAUGCCCAAGUUGCCAUAAUUAAUCAAAACAAAAUAGAAUCUGCAAGUCAACUAUAUUGAUUCGAAGUUAAUAUCAUGAUCUAUAUACAUAUAAUAUAUAUUAGAAGGUUUUUUUUUUUUUAUUGAUUUGAUACAGUUAGAUAAUUCAUCACCUAAUUAAUUAGAAUCAUCUAGGAUCAUACUUGAUGCUAUGGUCAUAUUAAUCUUUUAGAAUUACCACAGCUCUAAUAUAAAGCAGAAAAUAUUAUAUGCUUGUAAAAAGUACUGCUAUUGGUCCCCAAAAAAUUAUUAAGGAAAAUCCCAAACUUUUUAAGAAAUAAAUGAGAGGAGAAUUCAUGAACUAUUCUGACAUUUUUACCACAAAAAAAAAAAGGUGAGGAAAACAACAUACUCUUAAAAGGCAUAAUAAAUUAUUAUAGAAGUUGAGCAAGUUUAACUACAGCUAUAAAAGUAAAAUAAGCAUGAGUUUUUAUUUCAAAUUUCUUUUUUCUUUUAAAUAAAAAUUAAAAAAUUGAUUGAAUAUAUAUAUAUAUGAGAAUUUGAAUACAAAUUAAUUAAUGAAUUAUUAACACAUGUCCAAAUGUAAAUAGCUGGGCAUAUAUGUAUUAAAUCUUGUAUUUAUUAUUUUGAAUAAUCCAACCCGCCCAAUGAAUAAGUUGGGUUGUUCUUACCCAACCCAAUAAAACCCAUAACCCAAUUGACCCAACCCAUCCUUUAAAAUUAAGGGCAGAUUGUUGGGUUUUGGGCUUUUUUGCCGGUUCCAAUAAAUCUCCUCAACAAUACUCUUUCUAAAUCAACUUUCCCACUAAAGGUUAAAUUGUACUAAUCCACUCCUUAUAAUAUCACAAUAUUCCCAAUUACAACUCAAUUGGUUCCCCCUCCUUUGCAGAAUAGGAUAACACAGAUAUUACCAAUUAACCAAAAAGAAAAAAAAGGAAUCGGGUCGAACAGUCCAAUUUGUGGCUAAUUUGGUCAUGUGAACCUCGCAUAAUUAUGAGAAGUGACCAAACUAUCUCCACAACAAUUAGUAAGUGACAUGAUCAGCAACAUCUAUAAAUGAAGUGGGAAAACUGGGAAUACUGUAAUAUUAUAUGGGUAAAUUAGCGCAAUUCAACCUUUAGGGGGGCAAGGGGUUAUUAGAAUUAACCCUAUUUUUUUCUAUACCUAUCGAAUAAUCUUAUAUUUGUCAUUUCAGGAGAGACUAAGUGAAAUCUGGUCGGCAAAUCAAUCCCUACUACAUUUGUCUCAAAGAGCAGUCAAGGGCACUGGGUAAGAAGGACCGAGACGCUACUUGCAGAACCCUAAUCCAUGUUGGUGGGGGUCCUUUUAGCAGCAGCUUUAGUGUUACGCUCGUGUCUAACGUGGGGCUUGUAUUGGAUAGAAAAGAUGGAAUGAGCAAUUGACGUCUUUUCAUUAUCUUUUGAUGUACUUUACCACCACAAGAUUCCUCGUUACUCGUGGUGCUGUGUCAGUCAUUGGGGUAUACUUGAGUCCUGUUUGGAUUGUAAUUUUCUAAAAUUUUUAGGGUUUAGUUGUGAUUUAUUGAGUGGCUGUUUUGAAGUUCUUGGGACUUUGAUUAACAUCUCAGUUGUAGACCCUCCCUACAACAGAUCAUUGCAACAAAGAUUCCACUCAAAAUAUACUGUCAAAGAAACAUUAAAUAUACCUUUUUUUUUAACUAAGGGUUGAUUACACUUUAUAAAACUAGGAGUAUUUUCACUUUGCCCCCCGGAAUCCAAACAACAGAUCACUUUGCCCAUCAAUGACUGUUACGCUGGAAAAAGUGACUGAGAAAAGCUAACUUGAACAAUUUCAGAGUAGAGAAGAUUUGCAUGGAGCAAUCAUAUCCUUCUUGUCAUUUAGAAGAGGAUAUAAAUAUUAACCUAGAAAAAAAAUAAAGAGGAAAAAGGAAAAUUUUGCAUCACAUUUUUAGGUUCAAUUAAGCAUAUUUCGCAGCUUCCAUUGAUUUCUACUUUGAUUGAACAUGUUGUUCUAAAUGACUUUCUAUAGCUUAAUUUUAAGUUUGAGGUCAAAACGUGUAGACUCAAUUUGAGGAGCACUUUAAAUAAUGCUGAACUUUAAUUUGUUGCAUUCUUGUUUAUUUCAUAGUUGAUUAAAGCUAGAACCACUUAGGAGAUGUCGUAUUAAACUUAAUUUUAAUAUCGGUUAAAUUACAUAAUGCCAAAUAUUCCCCCUAAAUUUCAAAAUAGCCACGUAAACCCCCAUAGUUUUGUGUAAAGUAAAAAAAAUGAACGAAAUGUACAAUCAAUUAUAGCAUUUGUAUCAAACAUGCUCUAAAAGUGCUCUAGUAUGUUUUUUUUUUUUUUUUUUUGUCAGCAACGAUACACUUGUAUAACCUAUUCUAUCCUAAUCUAGGAGGGAGGGGGAGCCUAAGGAGACUAUGGUAGAGGGUUAGUGGAUAUACAGAUCCAACUAGAUCAAGAAAGUGCUCCGGUAUGUUAUUUAAAAGAGGAGAAACUCGAAAAUGUUCAGAGCUUCCCUUCUCAAUUCCGACCCGCUGGCAAAGCCUAUACACCAUUUUAUAUUAUAGAAUACACCUCAACGGUCUCCAAUAAACAGUAAAAGCAGCCACCAAUCGUGCCACAAAAAGAUACAUAUACCACAACCAUUUGGAUACACCACCUGUCCACAGGUCCAAAUUUCAAAACCUUCAAUUAGUUUAAAGGAUUUAUUUUGAGCAAUUAUAUAACAAGUAUUGGAAUUUCAGCCUUGUAAAUUAGGCCCAUCUAGUCUUUUAAUGUCAAUUUUUAGAAAUCUAGUCAAGUUCUAAUUUGUUUCUUUCAUACAUGUUCAGCUUUAUAUGUAAACAAACACAUACACAGACAUAUACAUGAAUCUAAUUGUUCGGUAGAAUAUGGGCAAUUCUAUAUCUAUUGGAUUUGUCCAAGCCGUGAGUUAGGAUCUGGUCCCGAGUAAUUAUGAAAAAAAAGUUAAUUUGACAACCUACAAAAGUAAUAACGAAGACUAUAAUAAAAUGUGGAAAAAAAUAUUAAAAAAUAAUGACACAAAAAUUUACAUGGUCCGGUCAAUUAGACCUAUAUCCAUAGAAGAAGGUGAGCAAAAUUCAUAAUCAUAAUGAAGAACACAAAGCUUGGGACAUCUUAAAGCCGCAAAAUAAAUGAGAGACAAAUGUAAAAGAGAAACUCGAGAUUGAACAAACAAGGAAGGUUUCCUAACUUGGAACUCUCAACUCUCUCGGCUGGCUUUUAGAAAGAAAUGUAGUAGUGGAAUGGUUGGUGCCCCAAUACCACAAAAUAUGAAAGAGACUAAACAAGAAAUCUCAAUACUACACAAAAGGGGGAGAAUUCCCUAAAUGAGUUUAUGUCUCUGGUAUAGAAGUGGCAUACCAAAUGCCUUGCCAAACCCCCUAUUUAUAGGAGAAAUUCUUCAAUAUGAAACCACCAUUCGAACUUGAGUUGCUACUGAAAUUUUUGACUGCUAAAGCCUUCAAAACAAUAGUAGAGGUAUGACAUAGGAUGGUGAAUACGUACAAAGAAAAAAAUGUCCAUGUAACCCACAAAGCUUGACGGUACCAUAAAUGAUUUUACAAGGAUGUCAAAAGACAUAUUUCAACAAGUCUCCACCUUCACUUUGCAUCUAUCAUACAGUAAAAUCGAAAAAUAGUAAACUUGAUCCACCUUCUCCUUGAAAACUUCAACGAGCCAAUAUAAAAAAAAAUUCUAAUGGAUCCCAAUGGGCAAAUUAUGAAAACCUCAACAAAUUCCAACAUGUCAAAUUACGAAAGUCUCAACAAAUCCCAACAAUUUAAAAAUACAAAAUCUCAACGGAUUCCAAUGGGCCAGAAUCACAAAGGCCUAAAUAGAUCCCAAUAGGCCAAAAUCAGAAGAGCCUUAAUGGAUUCCAACUGGUCUAAUUUACAAAAGUUUUAACAAAUCCCAACAGGCCAAAAUCACAGAAGCAACUAUAGAUUCCAAUGGGCCAAAAUCACAAAGUUUUCAAUGGAUCUUAACAAGUUUAAAGUCACAAAAGACUCAAUAGAUCCCAAUGGACAAAAAAUCACAAAAGUCCAAAUAGCAUAUGGUAAAAUUGGAAUCAAGCAAAAUUGAUGUUGAAACAGUAACAGUAUCUAUAAUAGUAAAUUCCUGCAAAAUAUAUAAAGUACCAAACUUGUACGUCUUCAUCAUAACAAUAAAGCACUUCAAGUGAUAUUUAGAAUUCCACCUUUAUCUGUGUACCUUCAAACAUAUAAAGCUUAUAUAAACUUUAGUUCAAGUAGAGUCAAUUUACUAUCGUCUUCUUUAUGUAUAAAAGCUCCAAUUUAUCCCACAAGUCUUUGGCCGUCUUUAUUGAGCAAUUUCAUGCAAAACCUCAUCAGAGAGAUUUAGGAUAAUCGCCGAGAGGGCUUUAUUAUCCAUUUCUUUAGAUUGCUCAUCCAUAUUUUUUUUUGGCUUUUUCUCCUUUUGAAGUAACGCUACUUCUACUCCAUCUUACAUGAAAAUAGCUUUCAUUUUAAGCUACCACAAAUCGAAACUGACACUUCGAUCAAACUUAACAGUAUAGGUCUUUGUUAUCGUCACAAUGGUUGAAGCAAAAAAAAAAAGAACUGAACCCGAGAUAACUGGUAUGUGAUACCAGUUUGUAAGGAUCUGGUCUCGGGUAAUUAUGAAAAAGUUAAUUUGACAACCUGCAGAAGUAAUAACAAGGGCUAUAACAAAAUGUGGAGAAAAAUAAUAAAAGACAAUAACAGAAAGAUUUACGUGGUUUGGUCAAUUAGACCUCCAUCUAGAAAAGAAGGUGAGCAAAAUUCACAAUAAUAAUGAAGAAUACAAAGUCUAGGACAAAAUUUCUAAAGCUCCAAAAUAAAUGAGAGACAAAUAUAAAAGAGAAACUCAAAAUUGAAUAAACAAGAAAGGCUUCCCAACUUGAACUCUCAACUCUCUCGAUGGCUUUUAGAAAGAAAGGUGGUAGUGGAAUCGUUGGUGCCCCAAUAACUCAAAAUAAGAAAGAGACUGAACAAGAAAACUCAAUACUACAGGAAUCAGGAUGGCUUUUAGAAAGAAAGGUGGUAGUGGAAUGGUUAGUGCCCCAAUGCCUCAAAAUAAGAAAGAGACUGAACAAGAAAACUCAAUACUACACAAAAGGAGGAGAAUUCCCUAAAUGAAUUUAAGUCUCUGGUGGUAGAAGUGCCACACCAAAUGCCUUGCCAAACCGCGUAUUUAUAGGAUAAAUUCUUCAAUAUGAAACCACCAUUUGAAAAUGAGUUGCUACUGAAAUUUUUGACUGCUAAAGCUUUCAAAAUAAUAGUAGUGCUAUGACAUUGGAUGGUAAAUAGAUAAAAAGAAAAAAAUGUUCAUGUAGCCCACAAAACUUGACAGCAUCAUAAAUGAUUGGGCAAAUUACAUUUUACCCCCUGUGAUUUAGCAUUUUUUAUAUAACCCCCUUAUGGUUUCAAAAACUAUACAUAACCCCCUCAUGGUUUGGAUUAAAGUGUCAAAGUGACAGAAAUAGUCAUUCGUAACGGAACUUUUAAAAAUGUCGAAAUUACCCUUAUAAAUGCAUGACACUAAUCCCGUAUGAUUUUUACAUUUUACCAUAUAACCCCCUUAUGGUUUAAUACUUUAUCAUAUAACCCUCUUAUGGUUUUCAAAAUAUACACAUAACCCCCAUUGGUUAAUAAAUAAUUUUUAACUUUACAUAAGGAUAUUUUUGACAUUUUAGGUGACUCCGUUACGAAUGAUCAUCCCUGUCACUUUGACACUUUAAUCCAAACCAUGAUGGGGUUAUAUAUAACUUUUGAAACCAUAGGGGGAUUAUGUAAAAAAUGCUAAACAAUAGGGGGUAAAGUGGAAUUUGCCCUAAAUGAUUUUACAAGGAUGUCAAAGACAAAAUUCAACACAGCAGUUGAUGAUAUUAGUUAAGAUGGAGGUCAGAUGCUAUUUUCCCAUAGACUUAUUAUUAAAUCGAGAGUAUCUAACAAGUUUCCCUGCAACAUGUCAGAAAAAUCAAUAUUUGGUUUAGCAUUUUCUACAAUUAUUAAAACCAUAGCACGAUACAGUUAACACUCCAAAUAUGAUUAAUUUGAAAUUGGAAUGAAUAGAAUUAAUUGUGAAUUUUUAAUGAAUGGGAAACUUUGUUUUGUUUUUGCGCAUUACUAUUUUAUAUUCUAUAUUUAUUAUUUUAAUAUUUAUAUUUAUUGUGUUAAUGCUUACAUUUUACGGUGGAAAUGGGAUUAAAUAUUUGUAGCUCCACAAUGAUUGACGUUCAUAUCGGCCUUUUUGCACUUUUAUCUUCUCGAGUUAAUCACGUGUGCAUUAAAAUAUUUCUAGUGUAUACACGCAUAGUGAGCUAUCUAGUCUUUUCCUAACCAAUAAUAGAAUGGCUCAAAAUUUUAUUAUCCCAUGAUAAAACAAAUUCUUCCCGAUCUUUACUUCUUUCCUCCAAGAAGUGGCCUGUGCACAUUAAUUACAUUGGAAAAACCACUCUUAACUUAAUCAUACUUCCUCUGGGAUUUUAAUGUGCAUUGCCAGUCCAAGAACUCAAUAAGUUAAGUGAAACUAGCGUUGAUUAAUUUUGAGGGCAAAUUACACUUCACCCCCCUAUGAUAUAGUUAAUUUUCACAUAAUCCCCGCAUAGUUUUAAAAAUUAUAUAUAACCCCCUCAUAAUUUGGAUUAAAUUGUCAAAGUGACGGAUAUGAUCAUUCGUAAUGGAACUUAUGAAAAUAUCAAAAUUACCCUUGUUUAAAAACCAAAAUGGCUGAAAAAAGAAAUAUAAACAUAAUAUGCAUGACACUCUAACCCUGUAUGAUUUUAUAUUUUGCCAUAUAACCCCCUUAUAGUUUAAUGAUUUACCAUAUAAUCCUUUUAUGAUUUUCAAAUAUAUACAUAACCCCCUGUGGUUAAUAAAUAAUUUUCAAUUUUAUAUAAGGGUAUUUUUGACAUUUUAGUUGACUCUGUUAUGGAUUUCAAAUUUCAUCACUUUGAUACUUUAAUUCAAAUCAUGAGAGGGUUAUGUACACCUUUUGAAACUACAGGAGGGGUUAUAUAAAAAAAAUAUACUAAAUCACAAGGGGAUAAAAUGUAAUUUGUCCUAAUUUUAAUGAAUGCCGUCAAAAUAAAGAGUGAAACUAGUAGUAUAACUGAGUAGUAUGGAACAUCCUAUUCACAGCAAUGUUUUCAAACCCGGACCGUCAAUCGAACCGGUGAGAUGAAAGGGUCGAGGUUCAACCGGUCGGACCGGUUCAACCGGGGUUCAAUAAAUAUAUAUAUAUAUAUAUAUAUAUAUAUAUAUAGACACACACACCUAUGCAUAGAAUAAGAUAUAAAUGCUGAACCACAAUAAAUAUAAGAGCAAUAAUAGCACAGAGAUUUAAAGACAUCAGAUAUACUUUUAAAUAAUAGCACAGAAAUUUAAAGACAUCAAAUAUACUUUUAAAUAAUAGCACAGAGAUUUAAAGACAUCAAAUAUACUUUUAAAUAAUAGCAUAGAGAUUUAAAGACAUCAAAUAACUUUCAAAGACAUCAAAUAAGUAUACGAUAUGAGUCACUACAAUGAUGUAUGAACUUAAAGCGGCAAAUCCACACACAAUAUUAACUAGUGAAAAAACUCUUCCAAAAUGAGUAGGCCUGCAAAAAUAAUGUCAAAAACUGAUGCAUCUUGUUAAAGAGGACAAACUAAUUUAUAGAGAAAACUUGCUAAAUCAAGAUUGUUACUGACAAGGCAAAAGGUUUUUAAAGUCUUUGAACUAAUGAUGGGCCAGUUGAAUCACAAUAAAAAAGUAGGCUUGUAGCAACUUGAAAAAUGAAAUAGAAUUGUAGCAACUCAAAAACGGACCGAUUCAAUUUGUUUGUGAUUAAGUUUCAAAGAAGCAAACCACCUAAAGAAAUUGUGUAAACCACACAUAUAGAUUAUUAUAAGAAACUAAAACCUCUAAAAGCAGAUAACAAAACACCAAUCACAGCUAUACAGUCACUUAAUUAAGGGAAAAUCGCCAAAUCCUGAGUUGAAAAGCUCGCUGCAGAAUUGCUUUUGGAACACAUUUUCUUCCUAGUAAACUUUCGGUUGCUGCACAGAUUUUUUUUUCCCUCAGCCAAGGGUCCAUUUUCCUAGCUAAAUUCACAGGCAGCUUAAGUAUCAUGUAUAUUAGACGCGUAAGAGGUUAUUACAGAAUUUUACCUUCCCUUUUCCUCCUAGAAUUUGAAAGUUGCAGCCUGCACUUUUAGUUCCUGCUUCAGUUCUUCCUAAGCCGCACCAGUCACUCAUUUUUUCCUCACUUUUGGGUCACGGUUUCCAGGUUACAAGCGGGAGAAAUAAAGCUAGCAAAUUUUUAAUUCUCUCCCUCACUCUCUCGGUUGCAAACUGGAAGCAAGGAGGAACCAGAAAUGUUUUAUUUCUUCUUCAAUUUUAUGUUCCAGCUAAGCAUUAUAAUUGCUACAAUCUUCAAGCCAGACAACAGAGCCAACUAACGAGUAAAAAAAAAAAUUUGCAGGACAAACAGACUUAUCUAAUUUGAGGACAAACCAGAUUUUUUCCAUUGAUGAAGGAACUUAAUAAAACUAGUGACGACGGUUCAAGAAGCAAGAUACAUAUAGAUCUCAUUAAACCUUCAACCUAAAAGAACCCAGUUUCUGGAACACUCUCGUCAAUGAUUAGAAGAACGGCAGGCCGUCUGCGAGGAGAGAGCUACAGGGCCCACGUCCAGCUCCACUAAAGUAAGCAAAGACUCCCACAAAAUCAAGAAACCACCAGUUGCACCGCUGCUGCACCACCUCAAUCACCCUGCUCAGCCGCACCUUCAGCCCACAGUCGACAACGAGCACCACCAACCAGUGGUCAUCUACGCCGUUUCUCCAAAAGUGAUCCACACCACACUUUGGAGAAAGGAUUAGAGAUUUAGAGUAAGGGACUAAGGGGAGAAGGAAAUAGAGAUGGCGGCAUGGCGCAGGCAAGGCAAUUGUAGAGAGAGGAACCAGGACGACCGAAGCGGCGAAGUGAAGUGCGAAGAGGAACUGAGGAAGACUGGAGCGGCGAACUAGCGAAGCGCCGAAGUGAGAAAUGAAGAAUGAAGAUUAGGGUUCGGUCAAAAUUGAAGUUUUUGUCAAUUUUGACUCAAAAAUUAGAAAACCGCGGUUCACGGUCCGACCCGAUUUUGAAGAUUUGAACGGUUUUUAACAGUUUUGACCGGUUUUUUAUAAAAGUCAACAUAGGUUAUAGACCGGACCGGACACAUGGCCGGGUCGCGGUUGAACUGGUCGACCCGGCCGGUCCGGUCCGGGUUUGAAAACAUUGAUUCACAGCUAAGAGUCCAAGAUAACUGCGAAUUACGGUUAGGCAGUAAAGAUUGAGGUAUGGUGCAAUUAAACACGAUUGCUAUAUUAAAAAAAAGAAAAAGAAAAGAAGAACACCAUUGCUAUAUUUCGUGCAACUAGAAGUCAAUGCCUUUACCCAAGUUGUCGCUAACCAUGUGUGUGCUCAAAUUUAGUACUAACGACUUCAAAAGUCAUCGUCGAAUUUUAUCAACAGUGACAAGAUUUUUGUUGACACUGAAAAUCUUGUCACUAAAAGUCAUUUUUAUUGCAGUGAAAUUUCAAGAUUCGAUAUACAUUUGUAAACAUUAUUAUUUUCAUAUGUUGAAUUGGAGUAUACAAAAUGCAAUUCACGCACACGAUUUCGUUAUAAAGGCGUCACAAACAACAAUUUUACGAGACUAUAAAAACCAGAAUUGUACACAUGCCUCAGAUCUUUAGUCUAAGACCAUAGAACAAGGGUAAAUGAACUGUAGGGUACAAAUUGGCAUUUCGUGACGCCUUCCACUUCCCCUCUUUCACCUUCUGCGCUCCAUUCAGGUAGAGACUCGAACACUGAGCAUGGAGGGUGGAAGGUUCCUUCUGAAGCGCUGGUAUCAAUCUCCUGACUUUGAUGUUUCCUUGUGCAUUUUAAUAAGAGAAAAAAAAACCUCAAUCAUUCUUCUUCCAUUCACUAUAUAUCUCUAUAUAAGAUGCCAAAACUUGUUUGUUCGUGAGCUUCCCUUUCUUCAAACAUUUCACUUCUACAUUUUUCUGUACACAUUUCUGUCUCAUACUUAUACCAAUAAAUUACAGUGAAUUACGAACUCAAGAAGACCCACGUUCAUGGAUAAUCCAGUGAGUUCAUGGUUCUCUGAGCUGGUGAGUUUUCUUCCUUUUUUCACUAUUUAUGAUGAGUUCUCCUUCGCCAUGAUUUUACUUUUUAGCAGCACUAUUGGCACAUUGAAAAGCUUGAGAAAUACAGACUUCCACGAUACCAGUGCUUUCAUCGCUUCAUUCAAGUUAAAAAAAAAAUAAAUAGCCUGUCAGUAUACCUUAAUUUUUUAAAAAGUUUUGGUUUUCUUACACAACUACUUUUUGGCUAAAAGUAAGAUUGUACGUAACAUAGUUCAUUUUCAUUCUCAAAUUAGGAAUUCCAAGCCAGAUUUUUUUGCUUUUUUACAACUACUGGUAAGUGCUGAGAAUAAUGGCUUAAGCAUACGGUCAAUGGAGGAUUCAAAACUCAAAAAAUGGAUUUUUCCUUUUCGGGCAUAAUAAAAUGAAAAUUUGAAAUCUAGGAGCACGUAAAUAGCCUUGAUUUCUAAAUCUAAUUUGAUGUACUUGUCGAUCUAGCAUUAAGCUUCGUUAGAACAUAUUUUUUACCCAUAAUAAUGUAAAAUUUCCAAGGAGUUUCAAGAACUGCAUAUCUCGUAAUUAAAUUGGAAAAACUUCCAUUGAUCACUUAACCAAUUUCUUAUACAUUUCCACUUUUCUUUCAAAUACAGGGAAUGGAAGAUUCAUUUUUCAAUGACCAAUAUGAUGUCAUGGACUUUCUUGAUGAAGAAUUCCUGAAUGCAAAUUUGUCCCCGGAAGGGAAUACUUAUUCCUCCACCUUCAUUCCAAUAAGCACUUGCAGUACCACUUUGUCUGCACUUUCAGCUAUGGAUGCUCCUCCAAUUAGUGCUGAAAGACCGGCAAAACAGCAAAAGUCCGAUGACUUGAACUCUUCCAGUCUUGGAAACAUCCCAAAUCAUCAUAAUCAGCCAAUGAUUCUCACUUUUGGCAAUCCAGUUAUGCCCGCAGAAAUAAAUCCACAACAGAUAAAUCUUGAGGAUGAUGCCGUGUCUGAGAUUUUGAAGUCCCAUGGUUCAUUUGUAAACCUUGAGGAGGCAACCAGAAGUUCCCAGAAGAGAAAGAAAACAGGUGGCCGCACUAGGCCAGCAUCGCAAACUUAUGAUCACAUUGUAGCAGAAAGGAAGCGCCGCGAGCAGCUCAGCCAGAGAUUUGUAGCUCUAUCAACUCUAGUUCCCGGCCUCAAGAAGGUAAUUUAUGAAUUUAUUAUUACAAGAAUGACAAAAACAUCAAUAAACCAACAAAACGUUUUUGAUAUUAAGAUCUUAUUGCUGUCGCAGAUGGAUAAAACUUCUGUUCUUGGAGAUGCUAUCAGUUACUUGAAACAUCUUCAGGAGCGAGUGAAGACGCUGGAGGAACAAGCAGCGAAACAGAACAUGGAAUCGAUGGUGCUUGUGAAGAGAUCACAGCUCCUAGUUGAAGAUGAAGGAUCAUCAGAUGAGAUGGGUGGCUCUGAUGAGCAGCCACUCCCUGAAAUUGAAGCUAAAUUAUGCAAUAAAAAUAUUCUUCUCCGAGUACACUGCCGAAAUCAUCGAGGGGUGCUGGUAAAAAUUCUUUCUGAGGUGGAAAUGCUGAAUCUUACUGUUAUCCACACAAGUGUUGCGCCAUUUGGACGUUUGGCUCUUGAUAUUACUCUUAUGGCCGAGGUGAGGUCAUAGUUAAGGAAGAUUUAUUCGGGUUAAUCUUUUGAUUGGCAAUGAUACAUCCUUUUUUUUUUUUUUUGGUUUGUUCUAAUUCCUUAAAGCAUUUUUCCAGAUGGAGAAAGAAUUCAACCUGACAAUGCAGGAAUUAGUUAAAAGUAUUCAAUCCGCCCUUCAGCGGGGCAAACAAGGCGAUUGAAUGCUGUUCGACGUCUGGCAGUUAUCUACUAGUGCUGAUUGACAAGUAUGCAAAAAGAAAUUGUAGUGAAGACCAUGAAUGUAGGAAGGCCAAGGUACAAGGAAGUAGAAUUUAUGGAUGACCAUGACCGUCUUGAUCACGGGAUUAGACCAAAAAACAGUAUCCUCGAGGGUCUCGUGGGCUUUUGAUUGACUAUGUUGUUUUUCAUUUUCUCGUAUACUAAUAUAUUACCAUGUCCUCCAGAGGGAUUUUCCUGAUUGGUUUUCCACUUCUUGGCGAUCAUUACUCUCAUUUCGCUUGUGUUCCUUAAAAGAAUGGAUAAAUUUUUCUCUUGUAUCCAUCUUUUCCUCCGUCAAAAUAAUGAUAAAAAAAUUUUGGCACAUAAAAACGCACUUAAUGAUAGCUUUUUAAUAAACAUAGAAAUAUAUGUCGGAAGAGAAUAAGAACAAAACCAAAAAUUCGCCAUCAAGCAGUAAAUGAUUUUAUUCACUCAAAACUCAUCAGCUUUAAACUAAGAAUUCUUUCAAAUUUUGGAGGCUUUCCAAAAUUUCUCUGUUCAGUCUCUCUUCAGCUAAAAUUUUCAGCCAAGCACCAAUUUAUAUAUGGGCUACAAUUGCAUGCCAGAGAAACUAAUCAAAUGCAACAGACCAGUAAAAAUUCUGGCGCGGACUUAAGGUACUUGGAUUAGAAUUUAGAACCGAAAAAUGAUUAGUAAUCUGCCUAGGGCUAUGAUGAACUAAGUUACAAUUAAAGGACCAACGAUUAUACACAUGACACACAAGCUAAAUAAAUUAACUAAGUCUGAUUUGAAUAUGUUAACAAGAAAUGUGAAGUUUCCCCUUUACAAUAAGGAUAAUGGUGUAAACUACAACACAUGAUAUACUAAAAAAAAUCAACAUUUCCUCUCUCCUCUUCAGGAUCUGACAAAAUAUUACAAGGAGAAAUUACAAAAGAAACCAAAAAAGAAAAAUGAUUAUAACUUCCAUUAUUUGUAUAUGCAUCCUAAGAAGGGACCUUUAUUAAAAUGUUAAAACUAAUAUUAUCAUUUUAGGUGGAUAAUAAAAGUAGGUAUUAUUUUUAAAAUCUCGAGGGAGUUCAGUAAAAUUAUCAAAAAUCUCAGAGGAAGUUUUUGAAAUUACUAUCCUACUUAUUAUGCACAUAUUUAGUAAUAAUCAUGGUAUAGAUAGUUUCAAAAUUGAGAACUUAACUAGACAGGCAUGUUAAGUCUUAGUAAUCUUAAUAGGGUAAAAUAUACUUUACCCCCUUGUGGUUCAGCAAUUUUUCAUAUUAAUCCUCCUGUGGUUUUAAAAAACUAUAUAUAAACUCUUUCAUGAUUUGAACUAAAGUGACAAGUGACAAAAAUAAUCCUUUGUAACAGAACCCAUAGAAAUGUUGAGAUUACCUUUGUUUAAAAACUAAAAUGGCUAAAGUGACCAAAAUAUAUAAACAUAACAUACAUGACACUUUAACCCUUAAUGAUUUUGUGUUUUACUACACAACCUCUUUUAUGGUUUAGUGCUUUACUACAUAACCCCCUUAUAAUUUUCAAAAUAUAUAUAGAAUUCCCUAGUGGUUAAUAUAUAAUUUUCAACCUUAUAUACAGAUACUUUUAACAUUAUAGUUGGUUUCGUUAUGGAAUGUACAUUUCGUCACUUUAAUACUUUAAUCCAAAUCGUAAGAUUAUAUAUAGCUUUUGAAACCACAUGGGGGUUACAUGAAAAAAAUACUAAACCACAAGAGGAUAAAGUAUAAUUUACCCAUCUUAAUAUAUCAUGUUGUCUUAUUUUAUCCAAUGUUACAACGCAUGGAGGAAAAUUACUUUCCGUUGCUUGUUCUCCCCAUUUGCUUAUUGUGCUUUAUUCUUUUGAUACAAGUAUCCCAAUUGACCUGUUUUCGUUCAUAAUAUGGUAAAAAUGAACUAUUCAUACUAGACGAAGUUUACACAAGGCUAGUUCAACAUUCGUUAUGUAACUCAGGUGGGAUAAUUUAACAGAGCACUCCUAGGUGUUAAAAUUAAUCGCGACACGAGUGUACAAUUAUGCAUAUUAGACCAACUUGAUCAAGUAUUUAAGUUGGUUGUGAUUGAAGAGAGGGACCUUAAGAAUUAAAUGACAACACAGUCGAAAGAAAAUUACUUUUAUUUUUUUUUUGUAGGCAACAUCAUCAAAUAAUUAAUUAGCAAAUGCUACAUAAGUGACCAAAAUCCAGCAACCCACGAGUCCCACGAGAACUAGAAGUCGUAUUCUAGCUCAACCAGGACCAGGAAAGACUUGUCCCAAAAUAAAUAAUUUUUUUUUUUUUUUUACCAAGCAAGUUAAGACUUCUUGGUAAAUGAUGCAAGCAAGUUAAGACUUUUUUUUUUCCCAAAAUAAAUAAAUGAUGCAUAAAAUUCUUGGUCUAGCUGCAUGCUUUUCCAAAUUGACAUUCUAGCUUACUUUAGAGUCUUAAUCUCUUGAAACUUUUUGACAUGGGCUUCAUCAUCACUGACAAGACUCUGUACUCAUACUUUUGACUGCCAACUCCGCACUAAGCAGCCUGCUUGACUCUGGAGAGAGAAUCGAAGACUUUCAAACCAUAGUUAUUAAACCCGGCCCAGAAAGGAGACCGGCGAAGGAGGUGGGUCAACGGGUUAUUGGUUCAACCGGUGGGUGAGUGGUUGAAUCAUUGGGUCACUAAAUAUAUUUAAAUAUUAUAUCUUAUAAUUUUUUAUAUAGGAUAUAUGAUAUAAAUUUUAAUAAAUAAUGUCAUAACAAAUGCUCAUUUGAUUUAAUUUGCUAUAGAAUAAUUAAUUCAUAUAAGAAUCAUCAAAACAUAAAUUUAAUUAGUGAUCCAUCAAAUUUCAAAUGUAAAAUUUUAUCUAUGUUUAAUGUAAUUAUCUAGGUUACUUACAAAUUUUAAGUGCAAAAAAUUAUUAAAAACAAUAUUUGUCUUUAAAAUAAAUUAUGUAAUAUGUUAUUUUUUAAAUCAAUUUUAUAAUUUAUAGAAUUUGGGGGUCAUAAGUUUGUAUUAAAAGAUUCCAAAUAAAUUUUUUUUGGAGAAAUAAAAAAAAAAUAAAGAUAAAAUUGAUAAAACGUUCAUAUAGUAUAAGAAUGAUAACUAAUUAACAUGUAGCGAAAUAGCCUGGUGGUGAGCUUGUCAUAAACCUUGCUGAAGGUCAUAGGUUCGAAUUCAACCAAUAACUUUGUAAAAUUUUUCCCUCAAAACCGGCUGGGUUUCCGGUUUAAUCCGGUUGAACCACUGGGUCGUUGACUAGUCAACGGUUCCAGUGUUUAACCGAUCUAAUUAGAGACUCGGCCCGGUCUACUGGCGGGUACACUGGGUUGACCGGUUCGACCGCCGGGCCGGGCCGGAUUUUAUAACUAUGUUUCAAACUGUACUUUGGCAGCCAGAUUGAGUUUUUUCUCCAUCUUAUUAAAAAUUAAUUAAUUAAACACUCAAAGGCUCAUUAUCUAAAAUUCUGUAAGACAUAUAUAGCAAUGUUUGUCACUAACUUAAAUUGGAUCCUCAGCAAUAUUUGUAACGUCAAGAGCUAACCUUAAUUUUAAGCGUGGAUCGAUCUACACUAUCUCCAGUGGCCAAAGUUAAAAUGAACUUUUAACUAUGAAUUUUUAAAAGUAUUGCUUGUUCCACCACUAAUUUGUAAAGAGCACAUAAAAUAAAUUUACUUGUUCUAUGUUAUAUGAAUGUUAUGACUAUUACAAGUAAUUGUUCAGAAAGUUAAGAAAUAUUUGCAUCUUAUUUUGCCCUCACUAAAGGAAAAUUCUGGCCCCACCCUUUCAAAGGGUGCAAAACUUGUAUUGGUAACAGCAUUAGAGAAAUAAAAUAAAUAAUUUAAAAUUAUCUGUAGCUUCUCUACCUCAAAAGGUAAUCUGAUCAGCACUUAUUUUAGGAUUGCAUACUUUAGCUGCAAUUUCAACGAGUAGCUGCUUAUACAUCAAGGCCAUCGAUCAAUCUCAUCGGGUGAUCCACCGUCUUCACCUUAGAAUAUCCUAUUUAAAGUAUCGGCUCUUUACAGAUAUUUUAUUUUCAAAUAUUUAAUUUAUGAUAAAUAUAUUAACAUUUGUAAUUAAAAAUUAAAAAGUGUUAAAGUAAUAUUCUUGCAAAAAAAAAUUAGUAGGUUAUCUAUUUAAUAUAAAUUAAAUAUUUUUAAAAAAAUAAAUGGCCUCAUAAACUAUUAAUUUUUUAUGACUUUCAUCCAUUACAUGAGUAAAGUAUUGGCUCUUUAUGGAUAUUUUAUCCUGAAUCAUUUAAUUUAUGUUAAAUACAUAAAUAUUUAUAACUAAAAUUGAAAAAGUGUUAUAUCAAUAUUUCUACAGAAGAAAAACUGGUAGGUUUUGUGUUUAACAAAAAUUAAAUAUUUGAGAGUAAAUACAAAUCUGUAUUUAAGAAUAAAUAUUUGUGAUAAAGUAAAUGUUUGAAAGUAAAAUACAUGUAAAGAGCUGGUACUUUAAAUAGGCAAUACGUAUUUGCCUAUAAACUACACUCGUUAAAGUUUAUUAAUUGUUAAUUAAUUUGUAAUACUUUGCCAUUCAUUAGACAUGUGGCACAAAGGACAAAUCAGGUACAAAAUUCUAAUUUCACUCUCUAAAAUAAUAUUUUAAUCAUUUGGACUGAAUUUGUAAAGGAUUAGUAACCUCAGGGGAGGUCAGUGUAAUUGUUCAAACCACAGGGGAGGUAAGUGUAAAUGUCAGAAACCUCAGGGGAGGUUUCUGAAAUUAUCCCAAUAAAAAAAGAGAAAAAGUUCCCCACAAAAAAAAAACUUUGAUAAUUAUGUAUGAUGCAUUAAAGUUUAGAUGUGUAUAAAGCUAGCCGUGUCAUAAACAAGGGCAAAACUAGGGGAGCGGGGCAGGGCCACCGCCCCAAGUUCUAGAAAUUCAUGCAUGUCACCCAUAAAAUUUUGAGAAUUUUCAAAUCUUUUUUAUAUAUAUUUAACUAUUUGCCCUCCCAAAUUCUAGAAAGUCAUGCUUUCUACUGUUCAAAGUUUGAGAAUUUUCAAAAUUUUCUAUAUUUAUUGAUCUUUUGUCUUUCAAAACUUUGGCUCCUAAUUUUACAUGUGUAUAUAUUGUGCCCUCUCAAAUUAAAUUUUCUAGUUCUGCUACUGAAAACAAAUGUUUCUGGUUCCAUAUCUGCAUGGUUUACUCCUCUAGUGUAUUUACCCUCUAAGGAAGAUGUCUUGGGUUUGUGACAGCUUCUCCAAGGAUAGAAGUUUAAUACAUUUGCAAGAGUAAGAAAAGCUUGUGAAAUAUGAAAUUUCAAUAAACAUAUCUGGUGCAAGUUAUGUAGUUAGAUGUGUGCGUGAUGUGUACAGUUACACAAGUUGUGUAGUUAGAUAUAUGUCUAUGUAUAAUUAUGCUGAGGUAGUAUAAUAGGUAUGUAGUUGAUCAAGACUCUGCUUGCCAGCAAUCAAUUCGACAUAUGCUCCUACAUCAUUAACAUUGCACCUAAAUUUACUUGAGAUACCAAUUUAAUUCCCAUUUUCUUGAGGCCAAGAACUAUGGCCAAAGGAGCUAGGGAUCGCUGACUGAGCUACAGCUUCAAAUUCUUUCUAGUAUUGUGUGAUCAUACAUGUGAAAAGGUGCGCCAUUUGGCCUCAGAUCAAUCCUUCAAAGAUUUUAGAGACUGUUAUUGCAUUUUUCCCCCUUCUCACAAAGGGGUAUUUUAGAAUUUUUGAGGACAAAUUUAGCAUAGUGAGUAUAUAUUGUUACUGCAAUACUAAUAAUAGGGAAAGUAAAUAUAAUUUUUCAAACUAAAGAAGAGCUGCCUGCAAUAGUCAGAAAUCUCAGGAGAGAUUUCUUAAAUUAUCUCAAUCUUUAAAGCUUAAACGGGAAAACCACGCGCAGACACCAGUCCGAGCCGAUUGGUUAGAAAGAAAAGCUUUGUCGUCCACCGUACUUGGAACCUUUAAUCUUGCAAAAAGUUUUAUGCUAUAAUAAAAUUCUUGGUCGUGUUUUGGACAUUACCGCGUACUAUCAUUUUGAUGAAUGUCUCUUUGAUGCAGUCUCAAGUGGUUUUCUACGCCCAUCAUAUUAAUGUGCAUACAAUAUUAUGGUUUCUAAUUGAGCGGCGUGAGAAUUUUUUGUGCCUGGUCCAACAAUUCCUAGCCUUUCUCACCUUGAUAGAAUAUUCAUAGGGGCUGCUUGGUUAAAGGGUUUGGGAAUCAGCUAAUGGAAUGAACCCCUUAUUUGUUGCUUGGGUUAAGUCUAUUGGAAUGCAAUUUCUGGAAUCAUUUCUAAAAACUCAUUCCCGAGUAAAUUGGGAGGUUUUGGACAAAACCCUCAACUCAUUCCCGAGCAAAAAUAUUUAUGACGAACUUACCCUCUCUUUUUCUUCAUUACACGCCGCACCUUCUCUUCUUCUUCUUCAUCAGAUUUUCUAUCUCUUCUACUUCACCAAUUGGACAACCAUAAAGAUCAGUGGGGUUCGAUUUUCCUUGGACAACGAAUUCUGGAGUUGAAGAGUCUUCUACUAGGGUGAAUUUCUUGAUUCCAGGUAAGUGGAUUACAAACUCCCUUGGCUCUGCAAUUUUCUUUCCCGUAUGCAAGUUUCUCUCUUCCUUCUUCUCUGCUUUUUCAAGCUACUCACUGGGUAGCUAAAAAUAAAGAAGGAAAGAAGGGAAUCUGAGACAAUAAAACUAAUUGGACCAAAAUGUUGCUGAAGAUUCUUUUUAGGGGCUGACGAUAAAGAAGGGAAUUCUUUUUUCAAGCUACUCAUUGGGUAGCUAAUGUGUUUUCUUGAAUUACGCAUUCUUUUUAGGGGUUGACGAUUCUUGAUCUUUUGGUUAUUUGAUCCGUGAAUACUGGUAUAGUUUGGGUGGGCUUCUACAUGCCCUAUACCUGUUUGUAAAAUUGUCUGCCUGAAUAGUUUUCAGUUUCAUAGUUAUUUAUACAUUAGGAUUUCGAGUUUCAACCAUCAAUUUCGUUUAUUUAUGCUUAUUUAUAUCUAUAUAUCAUUGUGUUUAUGGAUGUAUGAUGCAUGUCUAGGCCCUUUUAAUAAGAUCAAUUAAUGUUUAAUGCAUUUAAAGAUUUUGAUGUCAUAAUCUAGUUUGGUGAAUAUUGUUGUUUGGUUGUCAUAUUGCAAAAGUUGGCUUGUGAUCCAAUGUGGAAAUCAGAUGGAGGAUUUAAAAAUAAUUAUAUGAGCGAAUUGCUUAAAAUUAUCUUGCGUAAAUUACCUACUUUUACCAAACAAGUCAGCCCACAUAUUGAAUCAAAAGUUAAGUGGUUGAAAAAUAGGUUCCAUGCAAUUGUUGAAAUGUGCAAAGAAAGUGGUUGUAGUUGGAAUGAUGCUGAGAAAAAGAUUUCUUGUGAAAAACAGUGGUAUGAUGAUUGGUGCAAGGUAAGAAAUUGAUUACUUUUUACAUUCUGAUAUGUCCUUUUUCAACAUUUUAUUAAGAUUAUUAUUUAUCUUUCUAUUCUAUCUCUAGACUCAUAAGGAUGCGAAGGGCCUUUGGGAUGUCAAAUUUUCAUAUUUAGGAGAUCUUGAAAUUCUAUAUGGAAGAGACAGAGCCACUGGAAAUGUUGCUGAAGAUUUUGCACAAGCUGUCCAAGAUAUGGAAGAUGUCCAAAAUUUGGAGGAAGGAGAUGAAGGGCUUGAUGCUAUGUCAAACUCGGAUAAUGAUAACCUUCAAGAAGAUGAAGUAAAUUCCAUGGAGCAAUCAACUCAACCAAGUUCAACAAGCACAAGAAAUUCCAAGAAACAAAAGAAACAAUCACCUCCCAUUGCAAAUGUGUCAAAAAAAAUGAAAUCUGCAUCAACAACAAGGAGUGAUCUUAAUGCAUCAUUGCAAUUUCUCACCAGCAAAUUUGGAGAUUUCGUGGAGGGAAUUCAAGCUAAUUUCACAACUAUGGCAGCAGCCAUGUCAAAUGAGGAUAAACGUGAGCAAUUGGUCUCCGAUAGAAGAGAUCAAGUUGUUGCUGAGUUAAUGAAACUUGCUUUACCGAGUGGAGAUGUAAUGAAUGCAGCUGACAUACUUUCGGAGCAGAUUUCCAAGCUUCAUGUGUUCUACAAUCUCCCUGCAGAAAUGAAACGACAAUAUGUAAUUAACCUCAUUUAUCCUCCAUCCACUCGCUGAAGUAAAAUUAUUGUUAGCAGGAAAGUGAUGAUUUGAUGGCAAUUUCUUUUUGUUAUGGUGAUUAUUAGAUGGUUAUAUGAUUAGUCUUUUGGAGAUUAUGGAUAUUGAGUGGCACUUUCGACUGGAUUAGACAAUUGAUUUGUAUUUGGUAUGGUUAGCUUUUGUGAUUUGAGUCUCCUUUUUUUGUUUAUAUAUGUAAGAAGAAAUCUAUUUCAUAUCAUUAUCUAAUGUAGGAACCACGAACGACUUGUUAAUGGAGUAAAUUCCCAAAAAAAGGAGUUUUUAAACUAACUUCCUAAAGGUGGCAAUUUUUGAGUCUCUUCCUAAAGAGUGGAAAACGCGUUAAAGAAAUGUGUUCUUCCAAAUAAAAACACAACUUUCAAAUACAUUAUUUUAAUUUUCGUAAAUUUGUUUAAAUAUAACAAAAUGGUUAAAUAGCGUAUUAAAUACAAAACCUGUCAGUUUCCCAUAAAGAGCUGGUAUCUUAUGGGCAAUUUCUUUUUUUUUUUUUUACUUUCACAUAUUUAAUUUAUGUUAAAUACAAAACAUACUAGUUUUCCUUUGGGCGUUAUUUAACCAAUUUUUUUCAUAAAAAACUGGUAUGUUUCCUAUAAAGAGUUGGUACAAAACAUACUACAAAACCUGCCAGUUUCCCAUAAAGAGCUGGUAUUUUAUGGGCAAUUUCCUUUUUUUUUUUUACCUUUCACAUAUUUAAUUUAUGUUAAAUACAAAACAUACUAGUUUUCCUUUGAGCGCUAUUUAACCAAUUUUUUUCAUAAAGAGCUAGUAUGUUUCCUAUAAAUAGUUGGUACAAAACAUACUACAAAAUCUGCCAGUUUCCCAUAAAGAACUGGUAUCUUAUGGGCAAUUUCUUUUUUUUUUUUUAACUUUCACAUAUUUAAUUUAUAUUAAAUACAAAACAUACUAGUUUUCCUUUGAACACUAUUUAACCAAUUUUUUUCAUAAAGAGUUGGUAUAAAUCACGCUUCAAAACCUGCCAGUUUCCUAUAAAAACUGGUAUGUUAUGCACUAUUUAAUCAAUUUUUCAUAUUUAAACAAAUUUACGAAAAUUAAAAUAAUGUAUUCGAAAGUUGCGUUUUUAUUUGGAAGAACGCAUUUCUGGAAUGCGUUUUUCACCCUUUGAAAAGAGACUCAAAAAUCGUUACAUUUUGGGAAGUUAGUUUAAAAACUCCCUUUUUGUCGUAAAUUUACUCCUUAUUAAUGCAGCCACUAUAUUUAUUUUUUGGUAUUAAUUUUUUUUAUGAUUUAUGAUUUUCUUAUGUUUUUUCAAAAAGUUAAUAAUUAUUGUAGUUACAAUUAUGAAGAUGUUAAUUUGUCAUAUGUUUAAUUCUUUUGUUUUAGAAGAAUUAUUAUAUCAGGGGUAUAUUUGGAAUUUAAUUGCAUUUAAUUCCGAAACACUCAUCAAACCAAGCAUCAAGAAUUGGAAUGAUACUAAUUCCAAUGUGUGAACCAAGCUAGAUAUUGGAAUGAAAAGUUUUAAUUCCAAAACCAGAGUCUAUGAUUCCAUUUCCAUUUCCGAUUCCAAUAUGUGAAACAAGCAGCCAAUCUUAGUGUUUUCUUACAUAAGCCCUCUAUAAUUUCAAAAUCAUAUGUAAUCCCCUCAUAAUUUGGAUUAAAAUGUCAAAACAACGAAAUUUGCAAUCCAUAACGGAGAUAACGAAAAUGUCAAAAAUACCUCCUAUAUAAAGUUAAAAAUUAUUUAUUAACCACAAGGGAGGUUAUGUGUAUAUAUUGAAAAUCAUAAGGGAAUUAUAUGGUAAAGUACCAAGUCAUAAAAGGGCUAUAUAGUAAAAUAUAAAAUCAUACGGGAUUAAAAUGUCAUGAAUAUUAUGUUUAUAUAUUUUAGUCAUUUUUAGUUUUUAAACAAGGGUAAUUUUGAUAUUUUCAUAAGUUCCGUUAUAGAUGAUCAUUUCCGUCACUUUAACAAUUUAAUCCAAACUAUAAGAAGUUAUAUAUAGUUUUUAAAACUAUACGGAGAUUAUGUGAAAAUUAGCUAUACUCCAAGAGGGCAAAGUAUAAUUUGCCCAAGUUCAAAUAUGCAUGUCCAGUAUAUGUCGUGCUUCUUUUGCAAGUGGUUCUAGUCGUGGAGUAUUAUGCCAUAAAGACUAGUUAGAAGACCACUGUAGGUUUAGAAUUGAUUUUCAUUUAUAGAAUAUCCUUAGUUCAUCUGGCAAUAGAUGAUGACUAGGUAUAGAUGUAUGCUAUUUAUAAAAACGUAACAAUGAUGUAAACAGAGAUACUGUAUCAUGAAUUUAAUUUUGUUCAUAUUUAAAAAAAAAUUAUUGACAGAGUAAUUAGAAACAUUAAUCUGUUAAACUCGUUGAUGUCUUCACUGCUUCGCGUGAUGCACACUUAUUCUAAGAAAUUCAACAAUCAUUAUUUGUCCCUGAGAUUGAUUGACACAACAUGACAAUUAGAGCGGAAAACAUUAGUCCGAAAGUAGCAUUACUCAGUUGACCUUAAUUCUUUCGAACAAAGCUGCGCCUGCAAAUAUACAUGCUUAGGUAUGACAAUUGAAUAGGUUUAGGAUAGAAAACGCACCAAUCUCCAGUCUUACCAACUAGACCUUUUUCUGAAUUAACAUACUUAAUUCGCUCCACGUCCUCCAUGUUUAUUUGAUAGCACUAAUAUAUUUUAAAUUCUAGUUGAAUCAUGAAGACCUUUGACUUAUGCCCAUGAAAAAAGCUUGACCCCAUGAUUUAAUGGUAAGAGCAAAUUACAUUUUACCCCCUCGUGGUUUCCGCAAAAACCACAUAAUCUCCCUAUGAUUCUAAAAGUUAUACAUAAAACCCCUAUGGUUUGGGUUGAAGUGUCAAACAGACGGAAAGCACCCAUUGUGACGAAUCAUGGGCAAAAUGUCCAAAUUACCCUAAUAUAAAUACAAAAAAAGGAGCAAAUGAAGUCACAUUUUCCCUUGCUCUGGUCUUUGUCGUGAGAAAGAGAGAGAAAAAGACCACCGACGAACGAAGGAGAGAAAGAUUUAACUAACUUCAAUGUAGGAAUGCUGUCAUUUUCAUUGGAUUGGAACAAUACAGUUGGAUGCAGUUACAUGCAUCAUAAAUAGAUUUAAGUGAAAACUACUACCAUGAAGAUUCACAUUCUUGAUAUCUGGAGAGGAACUGUUGCUUCAAGAAUUUCCUCCCUUCAAGAGACGAGCUGAAUCUUGUCCCAGCUUCGAAGUCGCUCCAUAAGAUGCCUGCGACAAUUUUCUGCAGCCAUGACUCCGGUUGAGUAGGCACCAUGAACAAAUCCCUGAUGAUCCACGCUGACAGCCUCACCUCCGAAGAAAAUAUUGCCUGCUAGUGCUCGGAGCUUGUCAUAUAUGUCCGCUAGGUUUCCAACCAAAUCAUAAGAGUAGCAUCCGAGAGAGUUUGGAUUAGAUAAGGAGUACAGAUCUAGACUUUAUUGGGUGCAUUAAAGUGGUCAGGGAUAAUAUGGAAAUGUUUCUUAGUGCUACCAGUAGUACAAGCGCGUUUAAGCCACGAAUCGUUACGAUGGAUGCUUUCCGUUUGUUUGACACUUCAACCCAAUCACGGAGGUUUUAUGUAUAACUUUUAGAAUCAUAGGGGGGUUAUGUGGUUUUUGUGGAAACCACAAGGGGGUAAAAUAUAAUUUGCCCUAAUGGUAAUAAAAAGUUAGCCUCUAAUAAUGCAAAUUGAAAUCAAAGCUACAUUAUAAAUCCAUUAUUUGCAGAUAUUUAUGUUAUGAUUUGCUUAUCUUUUAUUGUGGGUUUGUCAACUAGUAAGUGCUUUUUCUAUGAUUUUCAAGAAAACAAAUUGGAAGAUUGAAUUGAGAAGAUAUGUAGAAAAAUCAAGGAUUUUGUAGUGAAAAUUACCAGAGAUAUGAUUGGAUAUAUCUUUGGGCACUUAUCAAGGAAUGAUGGUUAAAUUCGGAAAAUCUUAUCAUGCAAUUACACCUUGCCCAACCAAAUACGAACCCAAUUACAAUCGAACUAUGGAAAGAAGUUUAGUGGGAAUUGGAGAGAGAUUUUCUCUGUCAAACAUCUUAUUUCAUAAUGUUUAGUCAUGAGAGCUUAUCAUCAGUGCAAUUUUUCUUACCUUAAAUGAGAGAAGCAAAACAUCCAAGAAUAGGAAUUCAUUCCUUCAUGCAGUAAAGUUGAAGAUUGCACUGAGGACCGAGGAGAGAAUAUAUAUGCUAGCUAGACAAUUAAUAGGGUAAUUCCAAUAUGUAAUAGAUUGUGUUUUUGCUGCAUGGAAUGAAAGGCAGGAUUGCACGUUUUGAUUGAAGCUAGAAUCAAUUGUUGUGUAGAAUGUAGAAUUAAGCCCCGGCUAGAAGAUACAACAGGCACAACGAAAAUGAAACUUUUAAACUUUUUGACCAAGUUGAUUUAGAUGUGGCACAUCCAUGGAGAUUGCAAGAGUUGGGCCACGGGGACGAAAAUCUUAACUUCUACUAUUUGUUAACUAAAAGUGCAACGAUUUGUAUGGUUCUUUUCUUAUACUUAUUUGUUUAGUUCCUUUCAAGGGCAAAUAAAAUAAGCCAUCAAAGUAUCAGAUUGGAACCAGUGAGGAUUUGUGGUCAGAAGAAUUGUCAGUUGCUAUUGUUUUUUAAAACCAUGUAAACCAUACUUUAGGGGCUACAAACAAUCAUAAACUUUCUGUAAAUAUUUUGGACAAAGGUGCAAAUACAUUUUGUUAUUCACAGACCUGUAUUAAAUUUCUAGUGUUAUAAGUGAUCAUAUUAUAGUAGAGGAUAUAACUUCUAUCAUUAAUACAGAUUUUAAUGGAAUUAUGAUAUUUUAUUAAAAAAAUAUAUUUUAGGAUAUAGUUUCUGGAGCCAACUCUAAGAUGACUGACAAUGGAGGAGAUCAUAUCCUUGGUCGCUUUACUUUGAUCGCUACACGGUUCUAACAAUUCACGUGGAAUCCACUUUUAAGUAAAACUUUCAUGUUGCCAAAAAUAAUCCACCUAAAAAUAGAAUUCUUUCUAUUUUAUAAUUUCUAUCAAUUAAAAAGUACGUGGCUCAACUCCUGAAAAUGACGAACCUUUCGUCUGCCAUCACACAUAGGGAUGGCAACGGGGGACCCCUCCCCCAUCCCUCGCCCCGCUGCCUACAAACUCCCCCCGCCCCCGCCCCGCCCCCGCCCCGCUUCACCAGCAGGAUGAAUAAAAUUUUCCCCGUUGAGUUAAUAAAAUUUUAUUAUAAUUAAAUUUUAAUAAAUAAUCAAGUACUAAAAUAUCAACACAGCAUCAAGUUAUUAUUCAUUUUAAUUUUACAAUUGAAACUCAUAAAAACAAUCAAACAAAAGUUAUUUGAAUACAAUCCAACAUGAUGAAAUAAAUACGACUAAAAUAGUUAAGUUUUCACUUUUGGUACAAAUACAAUCACUAAUUCAUUAUUGUGUUUGUGCUUUUUUUUUUGAGAAAAAAGUGUUAUUCUAUUAAGUGUAAUUAGAAAUUUAGUAUAAAUGUAUUAGUAAAUUUAGUAUAACUAAUUAAUAAAUUCUAUUAGUAGACAUGUCUAAUUAUUCGUAUAAUUGAUAAUAUCAAUUAUAUUACAUACACUAAUAUACAUUAUAUAAUACAUCUAACUAAUAAUAUCACUAUCAUAAGUUUAUAACUAAUUAAAUUACAUAUUAUAUAUAAUUAUAUCUAUAUAUAUUUUUUGCGGGUGGCGGGGUGGGGGUAUACUCCCCCGCCCCCGCCCCGAGAGCCUCCGCGGGCACCCGCCCCCAUUGCCAUCCCUAUUCACACAUGAAUUGUUGGGGCCGUGUAGUGAUCGAAGUGACGUGACUGAGGAUUUGAUUUUGGACAAUGGGGCCUUUGUUUAUAUAAUUAACCUUGUCUGCCUUCUCCAAGGGCUUCCACUGAAACUCAAACUCCUCCUAGUUUUUAAGUAAGGAGGCAAACUAACAAAUCAGCCCAAAGACGAUGAGAGCCUCUCUCUCUUGUAGAGCUUUUCCCUCCUCAAUGUAGGAGAAAAGGUCUUUUGAAAUUUUGGGUCUUUUGAAAUUUUGAACUUUCACUUUGAAGUGGAGACUGCUGCAAAUCGUUCCAGGCAACUAGUGGCAAAUCACAAACCAUUUCAUCUUAUACACCUCCUCAAAUCAGUAAGAAUUGAGCUUUACACCAGCAUUCAGCCAAAGUAUACGAAGGAAACGGAUAAACACAGAGUUGUGGUGGUGGACCUGCACGGGUGGGGACCAAACCCUGUCUGAAGCUGGGGAACACAAAACAAAAAGGGGAAGUUCAAUCGACAUAAUGGGGAAGAAGUAUUUCUGCGUGUUCUCUUAUACAAGAAUAUAUCAGGUAGUAGCUUUUAUUGUUUGAAAACCUAGAAAACAAAAAAGGUAAGUCUCUUUCUAUAAAAUCUUGUCGUCCUUUAGUAAGUGUAGCUCUGUUUGCCUUGUCGUCUGUUUUGCCUCUUCUAACUAGUCUAAUAUCUUUGUGCUGUAAAUAAGGAGGUCAUCACCUCUUUUACUGCAGGUUUAGAAUCCAUUUGUGUACAUCUGUAGUGACUGUACUGGGAACACUCACAGCGUAACCAUGGCUGACUCCUUGAACAGAGCUUUUCAGAAGUUUGAUCUGGGGGAAAAGGAAGUAGGAGCUGUAGACCUAAGUUGGGGAGAUGUGGAAGAAGGGAGGGAGGAGUGUAGACUCAGCUUGGUAGGACGCAUUAUGAGGGAAAAGAUCGCAAACUUCACAGGAGUAAAAAAUUUCACAAACCAUGUGUGGGGAUACCCUAGGAACAUGAGGGUAACAGAGUUGGGACCAAAUGUGUUUAUGUUUAACUUUAAGGAGGAAAAGGAUAAAGAGAGAGCUCUGAAAGGCCGACCCUGGGUUCUGGACAAUCAGCUCUUAGUGCUAAAACAAUGGAGUGAGGGGAUUGAGAUGGACCCAGAGGGUUUUAAUACAUCGUACAUGUGGAUACAGGUAUGGCAGCUCCCAAUCCACUGGCUUUGUCGAGCACCAGGUUUUAAAAUUGGGGAAGUAUUUCAAGCAGUUAAGGACGUUAUAAUACCCCCAGGAGGAGGAAAGGAAGGAAAGCAUAUGAAAAUUUUGGCAGAAAAAGAUAUAUCCCAACCUCUUGUUAGAGGAUGUCCUGUCAAGCACAAUGGGGUUGAAGUAUGGGCUGAAUUUAGAUAUGAGAGAUGCCCGGAUUUUUGCUAUAGAUGUGGGGUAAUAGGACAUAGUGAUAAAACUUGCAAUUUUGAGGAUAAGACGGGGAAAAUUUUGAGAGAAGGUCAGUAUGGAGCGUGGUUGAAAGCAGGGAACAUUAUGACAUCUCCUAUGCGAAGUCCAGUGGGAGAAAAAGUGCCAGUUCAGGAGGCACAAACACAAAUCCAAAUACAAGGAAGGGAAACAUUGACUCCUGGACAAGAAAGAUGCAAAUUAAAAAAGAUGGCCCAAAGCAAAGAGACUCUAAAAAAAGCGGUGCCAGAGGAAGGACAGAAGGGUAUGGUGCAGAGUUAUAGUCAAGAGGGUAACUUGGUGGAAGGAAAGGAAAUAGUACUGAUCAGGAAAUUGGAGGAAAAGGAAAAAAGAAAGGAUGAGGGACAAGGUGAGGAAAAUCAGGUGAGUACUCCCUCAAAUACAGGGCCAAAUGAAUACACUGGGGAUCAGACAAGAGAUAAAGUACAGGAGAUGUGUGUAGAUGUAAGUGAAGGAGAGGGAGAGCAAGAGAUAGACAAUAGGCAGGAAGAAAAUGAGGUGGAGAAGAAUAGCACAGGGGAAUCAGGAAAGAUUUUAAAAAUGAAGGAGAGCUUGAAGGAAAAUGUGGGAACUGGACGAAAGCCUCGACUUGCAAAAGGGACCAUGAGAGGCAGAGGAGCCCCUCUGACAGAGAAAAGUUUGCAAUCAAAGCAGUUCAACCUGAGAGAGAAAAGGAAGACCAUGUUACGGGAUGAACCAGAGGACAUGAUUGUGGACUCAGAACCUACGGAACAGGGAAGAACAAAGGUUCAAAAGAAAGAAGUACAACUGGAAACACUGCUGAGGGUGACGGAGGCAAUCCCUAAAGGGCCUCCAUUGUGUCAAUGAAGGUUUGGGUGUGGAACUGUCGAGGUGCAGGGAGCCCCUUGACAGUUCCCCAACUUAAGGAGGUAAUACAUCUUCACUUCCCGGGAAUCUUAUUCCUCAGUGAAACAAAAAAUCAAAAAAAGUUUAUGGAAAGUGUAAGACAGAAGUUAAAUUUUGAAGAUAGUGUUAUAGUAGACUCAGUAGGUAAAGCUGGAGGUUUAGCUUUGUUUUGGAAACAUUGGAUAAAGGUGGUGGAGGUGGAACUCUCCAACUUUUACAUUGCUGCUCGUAUGAUGGAUAUGGAGGCAAGGUGUGAAUGGACUUUUAUUGGAAUUUAUGCUAGUACGGAUGAUGGAAGGAGAAGAAGUCAGUGGAGAGAGAUAGAAAGGACAAUGACAAAAUGGGGAGACAAAUGGAUCAUAGUAGGUGAUUUUAAUGAUAUAUUGUCAAAUGGAGAGAAGUGGGGUGGAAGACAAAGACCUGAGUGGAGUUUUGCUGACUUUAGGGGGCUAGUUACUGGGAAUGAACUAGUAGAUAUAGAAUACGAGGGUAAGCCUUGGACUUGGUGCUCUCAUUGGGAGGGUCAGGAGAUAAAACAACGACUAGAUAGAGCAUUGGCAAAUAAAGAAUGGACCAAACAGUUUGAAACAGCAAAGUGUAUCCACAUUGAAAAAGAGGCUUCUGACCAUAGUUUGAUUAUGCUUGACACAAUGCCAAGACGGAGAAAGGGGGGGAGGAGAUUUCAUUUUGACAAAAAAUGGGCUCAGUCGCAACACAUUCAGGAUUUGAUAAGUAGAGAAUGGGAAAAACCUCAACAAGGAUCCAAAAUGUUUAGCUUGACAAGGAAGGUGAACAGUUGUAAAAUGCGCUUGAUAGAAUGGAGUAAGGCAAAUGAGACAAAUUUUGGAAAAGAGAUAAAGUGUCUGAAACAACAGAUCAUGGAGGCAAAGGCAGGGGACUAUGGAAAGAAUAAAAGGGCUCAUAGUUGAACUAAAGCUGAAGCUUAGCCAGGCCUACAAACAAGAAGAGCUGUACUGGGCACAAAAGGCAAGAUGCAGGUGGUUGCGAGAGGGAGAUAAAAAUACAGCUUUCUUCCAUGCAAAGGUGAAAACUAGAAGGCAAAGGAAUAGACUAACAUGCCUGCAAGAUGAAACUGGGAAAUGGUGUGAGAUAGAACAGGAAAUUGAAGAGGAAAUAUGCAAUUUCUACCAGAAAGUAUACACAUCUUCUCAGCCAUCUGACAUUGAAGCAGUUACUGAGGGAGUUCCCCGUACAAUCACUAAGGAGAUGAACACAAUGUUGACUAAACCAGUGGAGGAGAGGGAGGUGAAGACUGCUUUAUUUUCUAUGCAUCCAGAUAAGGCUCCUGGUCCGGACGGUAUGUCCCCUUUUUUCUUCCAAAAGUACUGGAAUAUCUGCAAAACUGAUAUUGUGUUAGCCAUUAAAAGUUUUCUUUCUGGUGGGCAUUUGCUCAAAGCUUUAAAUAAAACUAUAGUGACCCUGAUUCCCAAAGUAGAAGCCCCUAUUAACUUGUCCCAGUAUCGACCUAUAUCUUUGUGUAAUGUCAUAUAUAGAGUCAUUGCAAAAGUGUUGGCAAACAGAAUAAAAAGAGUCAUCCCAAAGUGUAUUAGCUAUGCACAAUCUGCUUUUGUCCCAGGAAGACAUAUCCUUGACAAUGUCAUCCUAGCCCAGGAACUGAUUCACUUCUUGAAAAAUAAGAGAAUAGGUAGAAAUGGUUCCAUGACCCUAAAGCUCGAUUUAUCAAAGGCCUAUGAUAGAGUGGAAUGGCAGUUUCUUAGGAGAAUGAUGAUGAAAAUGGGCUUCUGCCCCAUCUGGGUAAAAUGGAUCCUAAACUGCGUCACUACUGCAGCUUACUCUUUCAAUGUCAAUGGCCAACAGGUGGGUUAUGUCAAACCACAGAGGGGCAUAAGGCAAGGAGAUCCCCUAUCCCCCUACUUGUUCCUUAUAUGCGCUGAGGGGAUGUCCAGUCUGAUGUACCAGAGUAUACAAAAUAAAGCUAUAACAGGAGUCCAAGUGGGAAAGGCAUGUCCACAACUGUCUCACUUACUCUUUGCUGAUGAUUCUCUCUUUUGCUGCAAAGCUAGCAUCCAGGAAGCUGAACAAAUGAAGGAGAUGUUUGCUAUCUACGAGAGAGCUUCAGGACAAGCUAUCAAUUACGAAAAAUCUGCUGUGUUUUUUAGCGCAAACACAAGCAAGGAAAUGAGAAGUAACAUCUGUGUUGCACUUGGGAAUAUGAAGGAAGCAGUAAGUGGCAAAUACCUAGGAUUACCUAUGCUGAUAGGAAGGUCUAAGCAACAGGUAUUUGGAUACAUUAAGCAAAAGGUGAAGGACAAGCUUCAAGGAUGGAAGAGGAACCUGUUGAGUCCAGCAGGAAAGGAGACCCUUAUCAAAUCAGUGGCAAUGGCACUUCCCACCUAUACCAUGUCAUGCUUCAAGAUUCCCAAAGUUUUGUGCAAGAACAUAAGUAGAAUGAUAGCUGCCUUUUGGUGGGGUGGGGGAGGAAAUGAAAGGAAACUGCACUGCACUAGCUGGAAAAAAAUGUCUCAGGUGAAAGGUAGAGGUGGUCUAGGAUUCAGAGACUUGGAAAAAUUUAAUGAGGCACUCCUGGCCAAGCAAAUGUGGAGAAUAAUUACCAAUCCAAAUCUGUUGGUAAGUCAGGUGAUGAAGGCAAAAUAUCUAGCAAGACCACAGAACUGGAGUAAGGAUCCCCCAAAAUCAGCCUCGUGGGUAUGGAAAAGCAUAAUGGGAACCAGGAAACUGGUGCAAGAAGGAAUAGGAAUGCGAGUAGGAGAUGGGAGAUCAAUUGAUAUUUGGCAGGAUAAGUGGAUACCAGGGAGUGACUAUGGAAGAUUAACAACUGUAAGACAUCCACAAUGCACGAUCAAAAAAGUAGCUGAACUGAUCACGGAUGGAGAAUGGAACCAGGCAGUUCUCAAACGUUGGUUUAUAGAGGAGGAUAUCCAAAAGAUAAAGGCCAUUCCAAUAAGCACCACAGGCUGCCAGGAUAGAAUGUACUGGAGAUACACCAAGUCAGGUGUUUUCACUGUGAAGUCAGCCUAUGAUGCAGCAAUGGAAGCAAGUAAGGAACGGCUGAAGGGAAGGGUGCAAACAAAUAUUGAAAGCACCAGUUAUGAUCAACAGAACUCAAAAAUCUGGAAGAAUGUAUGGUCCUUACAGCUGAAACACAAAUUAAAGCAUUUCCUGUGGAGGUGUCUGCACCACAGUCUGCCCGUGAAUGAACAGAUAAAUAGAAGGACAGGCAAAGGCACUCCAAUGUGUAGAAGCUGUGGGGAGGAGGUGGAAACAAUUGAGCAUAUGCUGUUCUUUUGCCAAGAUGCUGAAACGAUUUGGAAGCUAUCACCAGUGCAAUGGGAUGGUUUGAAGGACAUGAGAAGCAAUUUUGUAAGGUGGUGGGAAGGGAUAUUAGGAGCAAAAGAAAGGGAUCACGGACAGGAGCACAUAGCUCUCACCGUAAAUAUCCUAUGGCAAAUAUGAAAGGCAAGAAAUAGGAAAGUUUUUGAGGCACAAGAGGCAGAUCCCAGAAAGUCAGUCCAGCAAGCUCUAGUAGAGUGGGAAGAGUAUAUAGAGGCUCAAAAAGGUACAGCUGGAGAGUUCAUUCAACAAACAGCACACUCAAGCAAUAUAGGGAAAUGGAGUCCACCACCAGGGGGACUGAUAAAAAUAAACACAGAUGCUGCUUUCUCUAACAACAUGAGGAGAACAGGCAUGGGAGCUGUGGCUAGAAAUGCUGAAGGUAAACUGGUGAAAGUCUGGGCACGAGCUGCAUACAAAACUAGUGAACCACAAGUGGAGGAAGCAGCAGCAAUUAGGAUGGGAAUGCAAAUGGCUCACGAAGCAAACUGGAAGGCAGUAGAAUUCCAAUCUGAUUGCAAAGAGGUGGUGGAUAGGAUAAACAAGGAAAAUGGGCAGCAAUCAAGAGUAGAUGUUAUCCUGGAGGACAUUGCGAAUAUGAGAUGUUUGUUUGCAAAAUAUACUUUCUCUUUUGUCCAUAGAACUGGAAAUUGUUGUGCACAUAGUUUGGCUAAGUUUGCGGUACAGCUAACAAAAAAUGUUGAAUGGGAAGAGUACUUUCCCAUGUGGCUCCAUGAGAGUGCACAAAAUGAUUAUACAGGAAGCAAUCCUGAUGUAUCAAAUCUUGUACUAUCAAGUUUAUGAAAUGAAGAUUAUGGUGUUUGACAAAAAAAAAAAAA
rnacentral:lncRNA from 1 species